rnacentral:lncRNA from 1 species
AGGUUGCAUUGGUAUAUUCCAAGUGAUGGAGCUAGAUGAAGUGAUCAAGGUGAUAGUGAUAAUCAAAAGAUGAUUAUGUGCUCAACUUAGAAAAGAAGAAAAAAACAGAAAUAAGCUCAAGGCAAAGGUAUAGCCUAUAGGGCUAUUUUAGUUUGCACUCAAGACACCAAAUAUAAGGAGAGAAUUGUAUAUAAAUAUUAUUUUGAAAGUGGGCCUCUAUAUUAGGUCUCGACCUAGACCUAGGAAAACUCAGGGCCGGCGCUGGUCACCAAAGCCUGUGGCGUCCACUACGCCAUAUCUCUAUAUCACUGUCGAUUCAAAAAACUCCAUCAC